rnacentral:rRNA from 1 species
CAGGGAAGAAGCGAAAGUGACGGUACCUGCAGAAGAAGCGCCGGCUAACUACGUGCCAGCAGCCGCGGUAAUACGUAGGGCGCAAGCGUUGUCCGGAAUUAUUGGGCGUAAAGAGCUCGUAGGCGGCUUGUCACGUCGGUUGUGAAAGCCCGGGGCUUAACCCCGGGUCUGCAGUCGAUACGGGCAGGCUAGAGUGUGGUAGGGGAGAUCGGAAUUCCUGGUGUAGCGGUGAAAUGCGCAGAUAUCAGGAGGAACACCGGUGGCGAAGGCGGAUCUCUGGGCCAUUACUGACGCUGAGGAGCGAAAGCGUGGGGAGCGAACAGGAUUAGAUACCCUGGUAGUCCACGCCGUAAACGGUGGGAACUAGGUGUUGGCGACAUUCCACGUCGUCGGUGCCGCAGCUAACGCAUUAAGUUCCCCGCCUGGGGAGUACGGCCGCAAGGCUAAAACUCAAAGGAAUUGACGGGGGCCCGCACAAGCAGCGGAGCAUGUGGCUUAAUUCGACGCAACGCGAAGAACCUUACCAAGGCUUGACAUAUACCGGAAAGCAUCAGAGAUGGUGCCCCCCUUGUGGUCGGUAUACAGGUG